ACGGGAGGCAGCAGUGGGGAAUAUUGGGCAAUGGGCGAAAGCCUGACCCAGCAACGCCGCGUGAAGGGAGAAGGUCUUCGGAUUGUAAACUUCUUUUAUGAGGGACGAAGGACGUGACGGUACCUCAUGAAUAAGCCACGGCUAACUACGUGCCAGCAGCCGCGGUAAUACGUAGGUGGCAAGCGUUAUCCGGAUUUACUGGGUGUAAAGGGCGCGUAGGCGGGGAUGCAAGUCAGAUGUGAAAUCUAUGGGCUUAACCCAUAAACUGCAUUUGAAACUGUAUCUCUUGAGUGCUGGAGAGGUAGAUGGAAUUCCUAGUGUAGCGGUGAAAUGCGUAGAUAUUGGGAGGAACACCAGUGGCGAAGGCGACUUACUGGGCCGUUACUGACGCUGAGGCACGAAAGUGUGGGGAGCAAACAGGAUUAGAUACCCUGGUA
rnacentral:rRNA from 1 species